UUCUAAUGAUGAGCCUGCCAUGCUAAUACUGAUGCACCAGUUUGACUAUCUGGUCUCUCUGGGUGUAAUGAGUUGAGCAAAACUUCUCACACAUGUAGUGUGAUCUGAAGAAA